rnacentral:rRNA from 1 species
CCUACGGGGGGCUGCAGUGGGGAAUAUUGGGCAAUGGGCGCAAGCCUGACCCAGCAACGCCGCGUGAAGGAAGAAGACUUUCGGGUUGUAAACUUCUUUUUACAGGGAAGAGUAGAAGACGGUACCUGUCGAAUAAGCCACGGCUAACUACUUGCCAGCAGCCGCGUGAAUACGUGGGUGGCAAGCGUUGUCCGGAGUUACGGGGUGUAAAGGGCGUGUAGCCGGGUUGACAAGUCAGAGGUGAAAUCCUGCGGCUUAACCGGAGAACUGCAUUUGAAACUGUUGAUCUUGAGUACUGGUGAGGCAGACGGAAUUCAUAGUGUAGCGGUGAAAUGCGUAGAGAUUAGGAGGAACACCAGUGGCGAAGGCGGUCUGCUGGACAGCAACUGACGGUGAGGCGCGAAAGCGUGGGGAGCAAACAGGAUUAGAUACCCGAGUAGUC